GUGGGGAAUAUUGGGCAAUGGGGGCAACCCUGACCCAGCGACGCCGCGUGAGGGAAGACGGCCUUCGGGUUGUAAACCUCUUUUGUACGGGACGAAGGAAGUGACGGUACUGUACGAAUAAGUCCCGGCUAACUACGUGCCAGCAGCCGCGGUAAUACGUAGGGGACGAGCGUUGUCCGGAAUUACUGGGCGUAAAGGGCGCGCAGGCUGUGCUGCAAGUCAGCUGUGAAAUGUCUGGGCUUAACCCGGGCAUGCGGUUGAGACUGCAGUGCUGGAGUGCUGUAGAGGCAAGUGGAAUUCCCAGUGUAGCGGUGAAAUGCGUAGAGAUUGGGAAGAACACCGGUGGCGAAGGCGACUUGCUGGGCAGCAACUGACGCUGAGGCGCGAAAGCCAGGGGAGCAAACGGGAUUAGAAACCCCAGUAGUCC
rnacentral:rRNA from 1 species